rnacentral:misc_RNA from 1 species
CUGUUGAUAACCAGUCUCCUGAUGGUAAAGAUACGAGCUUUGGACAAGAAUGAAUUUGGAGGUGCUUAAGAGCUGCAGGCAAAUUGCCUUUUGGGGCUAUGGAUAUGAGAGAGUCACACCUUUCAACAAUCAGGUACUCAAGAAGAGAUGCAUUAUUGGAGCUACUGCUGAUAUUCACCUGAGAUGUCAUCAAUGAGGAUUCCUCCCCAUCAUCCAGCAAGCAAACCAAGUUCUUGCAAAUUUUUAUUUCCAGCUUUUUUAGAGUUGGAGGUAGCUGAUAUCUUCCAAAUGACGUCAGAGAAUCGC